rnacentral:lncRNA from 1 species
CAUAGGAAAAGCUAUAAUAAAUAUGGCAUUUUCACUUUUACAUAAAAUCGCAGUCAUUUUAUACUGGAAGUUAUCUAUUUUCUAUAGACACGUAAACCGUUCUUUCUGUAACGGUGUGUGUGUGUGUGCUACGUUAUAUGCAACAGAUUUCUACCUGUUCUGGGUCGAUGACUAUCACGUGAUAUUGUCAGCUAGCGUGACGUCAGACAUCACGCACUUUCCGUUAACUACCUUCGAAUACUCAUACUUCUCAUGAUUAUUCAAUAAUAAUAUCUCAUCUCUUCGACGUAUGCUUUUACGACACAGUUUUUUGAAAUAACUCGCCAAAAACGUUCGAUAACUUACAAAAUACAAGACAUGAAAUGAUCUAGUUUGAG